rnacentral:rRNA from 1 species
AUUGAACGCUGGCAGCAGGCUUAACACAUGCAAGUCUAGCGAGCGGCGGACGGGUGUGUAAUGCCUGGGAAACUGCCUGAUGGAGGGGGAUAUCUCCUGGAAACGGUAGCUAAUACCGCAUACCAUCAGAUGCUCCCAGAUGGGAUUAGCUAGUGGGUGGGGUAAUGGGGCAUCUAGGCGAAGAUCCCUAGCUGGUGUGAGAGGAUGACCGGCCACGCUGGAACUGAGGCACGGUCCAGCCUCCUACGGGAGGCAGCAGUGGGGAAUAUUGCACCAUGGGCGCAAUCCUGAUGCAGCCAUGCCGCGUGUGUGAAGAAGGCUUUCGGGUUGUAAAGCACUUUCAGCGAGGAGGCGUUACUCGCAGAAGAAGCACCGGCUAACUCCGUGCCAGCAGCCGCGGUAAUUC